rnacentral:rRNA from 1 species
CCUUAGAGUUUGAUCCUGGCUCAGGACGAACGCUGGCGGCGCGCCUAACACAUGCAAGUCGAACGAGCGAGAGAGAGCUUGCUUUCUCGAGCGAGUGGCAAACGGGUGAGUAACGCGUGAGGAACCUGCCUCAAAGAGGGGGACAACAGUUGGAAACGACUGCUAAUACCGCAUAAGCCCACGGCCCGGCAUCGGGCUGAGGGAAAAGGAUUUAUUCGCUUCAGGAUGGACUCGCGUCCAAUUAGCUAGUUGGUGAGGUAACGGCCCACCAAGGCGACGAUUGGUAGCCGGACUGAGAGGUUGAACGGCCACAUUGGGACUGAGACACGGCCCAGACUCCUACGGGAGGCAGCAGUGGGGGAUAUUGCACAAUGGGGGAAACCCUGAUGCAGCGACGCCGCGUGGAGGAAGAAGGUCUUCGGAUUGUAAACUCCUGUUGUUGAGGAAGAUAAUGACGGUACCCAACAAGGAAGUGACGGCUAACUACGUGCCAGCAGCCGCGGUAAAACGUAGGUCACAAGCGUUGUCCGGAAUUACUGGGUGUAAAGGGAGCGCAGGCGGGAAGACAAGUUGGAAGUGAAAUCUAUGGGCUCAACCCAUAAACUGCUUUCAAAACUGUUUUUCUUGAGUAGUGCAGAGGUAGGCGGAAUUCCCGGUGUAGCGGUGGAAUGCGUAGAUAUCGGGAGGAACACCAGUGGCGAAGGCGGCCUACUGGGCACCAACUGACGCUGAGGCUCGAAAGUGUGGGUAGCAAACAGGAUUAGAUACCCUGGUAGUACACACCGUAAACGAUGAUUACUAGGUGUUGGAGGAUUGACCCCUUCAGUGCCGCAGUUAACACAAUAAGUAAUCCACCUGGGGAGUACGACCGCAAGGUUGAAACUCAAAGGAAUUGACGGGGGCCCGCACAAGCAGUGGAGUAUGUGGUUUAAUUCGACGCAACGCGAAGAACCUUACCAAGUCUUGACAUCCCUUGACGAUGCUGGAAACAGUAUUUCUCUUCGGAGCAAGGAGACAGGUGGUGCAUGGUUGUCGUCAGCUCGUGUCGUGAGAUGUUGGGUUAAGUCCCGCAACGAGCGCAACCCUUAUGGUCAGUUACUACGCAAGAGGACUCUGGCCAGACUGCCGUUGACAAAACGGAGGAAGGUGGGGAUGACGUCAAAUCAUCAUGCCCUUUAUGACUUGGGCUACACACGUACUACAAUGGCGUUAAACAAAGAGAAGCAAGACCGCGAGGUGGAGCAAAACUCAGAAACAACGUCCCAGUUCGGACUGCAGGCUGCAACUCGCCUGCACGAAGUCGGAAUUGCUAGUAAUCGUGGAUCAGCAUGCCACGGUGAAUACGUUCCCGGGCCUUGCACACACCGCCCGUCA